GACAGAGGGGGCAAGCGUUGCUCGGAAUCACUGGGCGUAAAGGGCGCGUAGGCGGGAUGGCAAGUCGGUCGUGAAAUCCCUGGGCUCAACUCAGGGGGGUCGGCCGAUACUGCCGUUCUUGAGGGAUGCAGAGGAGACUGGAAUUCCCGGUGUAGCGGUGAAAUGUGUAGAGAUCGGGAGGAACACCGGUGGCGAAGGCGGGUCUCUGGGCAUUCCCUGACGCUGAGGCGCGAAAGCGUGGGGAGCGAACAGG
rnacentral:rRNA from 1 species